AGAUGGCUCGGUGGUUAAGAGCACUGACUGCCGGUCCAGAGAACCUGGGUUCGAUUCCCAGCAUCUA
rnacentral:tRNA from 1 species